rnacentral:rRNA from 1 species
AGUCGAGGGGUAUAGUAGCAAUACUAGAGACCGGCGCACGGGUGCGUAACGCGUAUGCAAUCUACCUUUUGCAGAGGGAUAGCCCAGAGAAAUUUGGAUUAAUACCUCAUAGUAUAACGACUCGGCAUCGAGAUGUUAUUAAAGUCACAACGGCAAAAGAUGAGCAUGCGUCCCAUUAGUUAGUUGGUAAGGUAACGGCUUACCAAGACUACGAUGGGUAGGGGUCCUGAGAGGGAGAUCCCCCACACUGGUACUGAGACACGGACCAGACUCCUACGGGAGGCAGCAGUGAGGAAUAUUGGACAAUGGGCGCAAGCCUGAUCCAGCCAUGCCGCGUGCAGGAUGACGGUCCUAUGGAUUGUAAACUGCUUUUGCACGGGAAGAAACAACGCUACGUGUAGCGUCUUGACGGUACUGUGAGAAUAAGGAUCGGCUAACUCCGUGCCAGCAGCCGCGGUAAUACGGAGGAUCCAAGCGUUAUCCGGAAUCAUUGGGUUUAAAGGGUCCGUAGGCGGUCUUAUAAGUCAGUGGUGAAAUCUCCCCGCUCAACGGGGAAACGGCCAUUGAUACUGUAGGACUUGAAUUAUUAGGAAGUAACUAGAAUAUGUAGUGUAGCGGUGAAAUGCUUAGAGAUUACAUGGAAUACCAAUUGCGAAGGCAGGUUACUACUUGUGGAUUGACGCUGAUGGACGAAAGCGUGGGGAGCGAACAGGAUUAGAUACCCUGGUAGUCCACGCCGUAAACGAUGGAUACUAGCUGUUGGGCGCAAGCUCAGUGGCUAAGCGAAAGUGAUAAGUAUCCCACCU